AGUGAACGCUGGCGGUAGGCCUAACACAUGCAAGUCGAACGGCAGCACAGGAGAGCUUGCUCUCUGGGUGGCGAGUGGCGGACGGGUGAGGAAUACAUCGGAAUCUACUCUGUCGUGGGGGAUAACGUAGGGAAACUUACGCUAAUACCGCAUACGACCUACGGGUGAAAGCAGGGGACCUUCGGGCCUUGCGCGAUUGAAUGAGCCGAUGUCGGAUUAGCUAGUUGGCGGGGUAAAGGCCAACCAAGGCGACGAUCCGUAGCUGGUCUGAGAGGAUGAUCAGCCACACUGGAACAGAGAGACGGUCCAGACUCCUACGGGAGGCAGCAGUGGGGAAUAUUGGACAAUGGGCGCAAGCCUGAUCCAGCCAUACCGCGUGGGUGAAGAAGGCCUUCGGGUUGUAAAGCCCUUUUGUUGGGAAAGAAAUCCAGCUGGCUAAUACCCGGUUGGGAUGACGGUACCCAAAGAAUAAGCACCGGCUAACUUCGUGCCAGCAGCCGCCGCCG
rnacentral:rRNA from 1 species